rnacentral:rRNA from 1 species
GCAGUAGCCACGGGAAUACGAAGGGGGCUAGCGUUGCUCGGAAUUACUGGGCGUAAAGGGCGCGUAGGCGGACAGUUCAGUCGGGGGUGAAAGCCCGGGGCUCAACCUCGGAAUUGCCUUCGAUACUGGCUGUCUUGAGUAUGAGAGAGGUGUGUGGAACUCCGAGUGUAGAGGUGAAAUUCGUAGAUAUUCGGAAGAACACCAGUGGCGAAGGCGACACACUGGCUCAUUACUGACGCUGAGGCGCGAAAGCGUGGGGAGCAAACAGGAUUAGAUACCCCAGUAGUCCCUGUCUCUUAUAA